GUAGGUGGCAAGCGUUGUCCGGAAUUAUUGGGCGUAAAGCGCGCGCAGGCGGUCCUUUAAGUCUGAUGUGAAAGCCCACGGCUCAACCGUGGAGGGUCAUUGGAAACUGGGGGACUUGAGUACAGAAGAGGAAAGCGGAAUUCCAAGUGUAGCGGUGAAAUGCGUAGAGAUUUGGAGGAACACCAGUGGCGAAGGCGGCUUUCUGGUCUGUAACUGACGCUGAGGCGCGAAAGCGUGGGGAGCAAACAGGGAUUAGAUACCCUGGUAGUCCACGCCGUAAACGAUGAGUGCUAAGUGUUAGGGGGGUUUCCGGCCCCCCUUAGUGCUGCAGCUAACGCAUUAAGCACUCCGGCCUGGGGGAGUACGGCCGCAAGGCUG
rnacentral:rRNA from 1 species